UACGUAGGGGGGCUAGCGUUGUCCGGAUUUAUUGGGCGUAAAGAGCGUGUAGGCGGCCAUGUAGGUCCGGUGUGAAAACUCGAGGCUUAACCUCGAGAUGUCAUCGGAAACCAUUUGGCUAGAGUCCGGAAGAGGAGAGUGGAAUUCCUGGUGUAGCGGUGAAAUGCGCAGAUAUCAGGAAGAACACCAAUGGCGAAAGCAGCUCUCUGGGACGGUACUGACGCUGAGACGCGAAAAGCGUGGGGGAGCGAACGGG
rnacentral:rRNA from 1 species